GGCCUGGAGCUCGGGCGGCAGGAGCUCCUGUUAAAUGUCAGGAAGGCCCAGGGAGCAGGCAGAGUGCAUGAAUGUGCGGGUUUCAGGCCAGGGCAAGACUCUCACACCAGGCUCAGCUGCGUCUGGAUCCCUCCGCUGCGCGCCUUGGAUCAAUUUUGGAUCAAUCGGCCACAACAGCUGGGUGCCCAGAAAACAGAGGCGGUGAAUCAAAAAGAGGAAGGAGUUCCCAAGGCGCCCCCGUGCUUGUGACAGGCACGGGCGGGCGGGUCCCACUACAGACCUCACUUCCUGAUGGGAGAGGGAGAAAAACUGAAGUUACGAAAGCAGAAGCAACAGAUGUGGCUCCAGCUGGCAUGUGUACCGCCGUCCGUCCUCCACGAAGAGAAGACCCCUCCCUGCCUGGGGUGGUUUCCACCCGACCUUACAAUCCCCACCAAAUCGCGGCUCUCCCCACCAGCUCUGCACCCAAAUCAUCCCUCCCUUAAUCCCCCGCUGUCCCGUAUAAGCCGCUGGGUGGCGCUGUCGGCACUAACGGAGGCCGCCCGGAGCUCCGCUGCUGCUGGAAGGGCGGGCAGGCCUGGGGUUAGACGUGGAUCCGGGAGCAUCGGAGCAUCGAGCAUCUCUACAAGACCGAGGCUAGCGGUGACUUCGAAGUAUCACCUACAGUCUGAAUUAGAAGCAAAUACAAACCCAGGGCGCCAGUUCUUGGCUUGAUUCAGGGUGAGGCUCCAGAAGAGGGUCCAUCCAAUCUGCCUAAAAUGAGAGCGCAGGCAGGACUGCGGCCCAUUUGAGAGUUUCGGGGAAACUGGUCCCUGCAGAUUAUAAGAUUUACUCAGGUGUCUUUGGUUCCAAAGUCCAGAAGGCUGAGAGGUGAGGAAGCUGCAGAAGAAAAAUUUGAAGCAAGAGGUUGGUGCAUGAGGUUUAAGGUAAGAAGCCAUCUCCAUAACAACCAAGUGCCAGGUGAAGCAGCACGUGCUGAUGUAGAAGCUUCAGUAAGUUACCCA